rfam:Pasteurellaceae bacterium NI1060 genome.
AAUUUUUAACUUAAAUAACACACACAUAUCACCAAGGCUUCAUCGGGGUGCCAAACGGUCGAUGAGCUGAUAUGUGGAGGCUCAAC